UACGUAGGGUGCGAGCGUUAUUCGGAAUUACUGGGCGUAAAGCGUGCGCAGGCGGUUGUGCAAGUCAGAUUUGAAAUCCCCGGGCUCAACCUGGGAACUGCAUUUGUGACUGCACGGCUGGAGUGCGGCAGAGGGGGAUGGAAUUCCGCGUGUAGCAGUGAAAUGCGUAGAUAUGCGGAGGAACACCGAUGGCGAAGGCAAGCCCCUGGGCCUGCACUGACGCUCAUGCACGAAAGCGUGGGGAGCAAACAGG
rnacentral:rRNA from 1 species